UUGACUCAAUCAGGUAGGACUACCCGCUGACUAAGCUAUCAUAAGCGGAGGAAAGAACUACAGGAUCCCUAGAACUGCGA
rnacentral:rRNA from 1 species